UACGGAAGGCAGCAGUGGGGAAUAUUGCACAAUGGGCGCAAGCCUGAUGCAGCCAUGCCGCGUGUAUGAAAAAGGCCUUCGGGUUGUAAAGUACUUUCAGUCGUGAGGAAGGUGUUAAGGUUAAUAACCUUAGCAAUUGACGUUAGCGACAGAAGAAGCACCGGCUAACUCCGUGCCAGCAGCCGCGGUAAUACGGAGGGUGCGAGCGUUAAUCGGAAUUACUGGGCGUAAAGGGCACGCAGGCGGUUAAUUAAGUUGGAUGUGAAAUCCCCGGGCUUAACCUGGGAAUGGCAUUCAAGACUGGUUAGCUAGAGUCUUGUAGAGGGGGUAGAAUUCCAUGUGUAGCGGUGAAAUGCGUAGAGAUGUGGAGGAAUACCGGUGGCGAAGGCGGCCCCUGGGACAAAGGACUGACGCUCAUGUGCGAAAGCGUGGGGAGCGAAAC
rnacentral:rRNA from 1 species